rnacentral:rRNA from 1 species
UACGAAGGUGGCAAGCGUUGUUCGGAUUCACUGGGCGUACAGGGAGCGUAGGCGGUUGGGUAAGCCCUCCGUGAAAUCUCCGGGCCCAACCCGGAAAGUGCAGAGGGGACUGCUCGGCUAGAGGACGGGAGAGGAGCGCGGAAUUCCCGGUGUAGCGGUGAAAUGCGUAGAGAUCGGGAGGAAGGCCGGUGGCGAAGGCGGCGCUCUGGAACAUUUCUGACGCUGAGGCUCGAAAGCGUGGGGAGCAAACAGG